rnacentral:lncRNA from 1 species
CUUGUGAAUGGUGCUGUUUUGUCAAUUAUCUUGAAUUACCAAUCAUUUUAGUUUUUUUGUGGUGGCACAAUUCUACAAUCACCAAAUCCCAAAAACAGCACUGGAAGCAAGUAACAUAUAAGUUUUUAUUAAUUGAAUGAAAAUUUACCGUAAAAUAAAAUUGAUAUAUUGGUUUGAGUAUUUUCUUGAUAAGAGGCUCAAAGAACAUAGGGCUGAUAUAGUGGCUGGUAGAUUAACAGCAGCAUUGGCAAGUAAGGUGUAUGAACAGGUAGUAACUAGAGAUGUGCGAUACAGAAUAAAAUAUCGUAUCGGCGAUAUUCCGAUACAGAUUUUCAUACGAUACUUGAUAUCACGAUAUUUUGGGAUAAUAUCGAAAAUAUCGUGAUACGAUAUUUAGGGGGAAAAACAAAC